rnacentral:rRNA from 1 species
GAUGAACGCUGGCGGCGUGCCUAAUACAUGCAAGUCGAGCGAGCGGACGAGAAGCUUGCUUUUCUGAUGUUAGCGGCGGACGGGUGAGUAACACGUGGAUAACCUACCUAUAAGACUGGGAUAACUUCGGGAAACCGGAGCUAAUACCGGAUAAUAUUUUGAACCGCAUGGUUCAAAAGUGAAAGACGGUCUUGCUGUCACUUAUAGAUGGAUCCGCGCUGCAUUAGCUAGUUGGUAAGGUAACGGCUUACCAAGGCAACGAUGCAUAGCCGACCUGAGAGGGUGAUCGGCCACACUGGAACUGAGACACGGUCCAGACUCCUACGGGAGGCAGCAGUAGGGAAUCUUCCGCAAUGGGCGAAAGCCUGACGGAGCAACGCCGCGUGAGUGAUGAAGGUCUUCGGAUCGUAAAACUCUGUUAUUAGGGAAGAACAUAUGUGUAAGUAACUGUGCACAUCUUGACGGUACCUAAUCAGAAAGCCACGGCUAACUACGUGCCAGCAGCCGCGGUAAUACGUAGGUGGCAAGCGUUAUCCGGAAUUAUUGGGCGUAAAGCGCGCGUAGGCGGUUUUUUAAGUCUGAUGUGAAAGCCCACGGCUCAACCGUGGAGGGUCAUUGGAAACUGGAAAACUUGAGUGCAGAAGAGGAAAGUGGAAUUCCAUGUGUAGCGGUGAAAUGCGCAGAGAUGUGGAGGAACACCAGUGGCGAAGGCGACUUUCUGGUCUGUAACUGACGCUGAUGUGCGAAAGCGUGGGGAUCAAACAGGAUUAGAUACCCUGGUAGUCCACGCCGUAAACGAUGAGUGCUAAGUGUUAGGGGGUUUCCGCCCCUUAGUGCUGCAGCUAACGCAUUAAGCACUCCGCCUGGGGAGUACGACCGCAAGGUUGAAACUCAAAGGAAUUGACGGGGGCCCGCACAAGCGGUGGAGCAUGUGGUUUAAUUCGAAGCAACGCGAAGAACCUUAUCAAAUCUUGACAUCCUUUGACAACUCUAGAGAUAGAGCCUUCCCCUUCGGGGGACAAAGUGACAGGUGGUGCAUGGUUGUCGUCAGCUCGUGUCGUGAGAUGUUGGGUUAAGUCCCGCAACGAGCGCAACCCUUAAGCUUAGUUGCCAUCAUUAAGUUGGGCACUCUAAGUUGACUGCCGGUGACAAACCGGAGGAAGGUGGGGAUGACGUCAAAUCAUCAUGCCCCUUAUGAUUUGGGCUACACACGUGCUACAAUGGACAAUACAAAGGGCAGCGAAACCGCGAGGUCAAGCAAAUCCCAUAAAGUUGUUCUCAGUUCGGAUUGUAGUCUGCAACUCGACUACAUGAAGCUGGAAUCGCUAGUAAUCGUAGAUCAGCAUGCUACGGUGAAUACGUUCCCGGGUCU